GACGGACGCUGGCGGCGUGCCUAAUACAUGCAAGUCGAGCGCAGGAAACUGACGGAACUCUUCGGAGGGAAGGCAGUGGAAUGAGCGGCGGACGGGUGAGUAACACGUAAGGAACCUGCCUCAAGGAUUGGGAUAACUCCGAGAAAUCGGAGCUAAUACCGGAUAGUUCAACGGACCGCAUGGUCCGCUGAUGAAAGGCGCUCCGGCGUCACCUUGAGAUGGCCUUGCGGUGCAUUAGCUAGUUGGUGGGGUAACGGCUCACCAAGGCGACGAUGCAUAGCCGACCUGAGAGGGUGAUCGGCCACACUGGGACUGAGACACGGCCCAGACUCCUACGGGAGGCAGCAGUAGGGAAUCUUCCACAAUGGACGAAAGUCUGAUGGAGCAACGCCGCGUGAGUGAUGAAGGUUUUCGGAUCGUAAAACUCUGUUGUAAGGGAAGAACACGUACGAGAGGAAAUGCUCGUACCUUGACGGUACCUUACGAGAAAGCCACGGCUAACUACGUGCCAGCAGCCGCGGUAA
rnacentral:rRNA from 1 species